CCUACGGGAGGCAGCAGUAGGGAAUCUUUCACAAUGGGCGAAAGCCUGAUGGAGCAACGCCGCGUGCAGGAUGAAGGCCUUCGGGUUGUAAACUGCUUUUAUAAGCGAGAAAUAUGAUGGUAACUUAUGAAUAAGGAUCUGCUAACUACGUGCCAGCAGCCGCGGUCAUACGUAGGAUCCGAGCAUUAUCCGGAGUGACUGGGUGUAAAGAGUUGCGUAGGUGGCAUAAUAAGUAGCUAGUGAAAUCUGGUGGCUCAACAAUUCAGACUAUUAGCUAAACUGUUAAGCUCGAGACCGUUAGGGGUAACUGGAAUUUCUAGUGUAGGAGUGAAAUCCGUAGAUAUUAGAAGGAACACCAAUAGCGUAGGCAGGUUGCUGGGACGGUUCUGACACUAAGGCACGAAAGCGUAGGGAGCAAACGGGAUUAGAUACCCGUGUAGUC
rnacentral:rRNA from 1 species